CUUCUGUUGACUUGUCCAAGUCAACAGAUUCAAAAUGAAUUUCAAAAACGCGCGCUAAUUUCUCCUAAGGGAUCACCGUCCCUCCGCCUUGAAGCAUCGCGCCAGCGUCCGUCGUCGACGCCAGUAAUGGCCUAAGCCUAAGAUGUUACCACCAAUGGAAGCCCUAAGAUGAGCUAAACACGGAUAUGGGGAUAUGAUUGGGAGACGGUCUUUGUGGUGUUCGAAUCGAACAGAUAAAGGGAAAACCCUAGCUAUCUACCGGUUUAAUUACAUGGCUCAUGGUGUGAAUCGAACCUUAGUACCAUGGGGCUUCGGCUUCCUAUCAUAGAUACUAGACCUUGGCGUGCUUAGAGAAAGAAAAAGACACGAAAUGGAAAAUGACAUACCGGAGAAGAUGAUCGGAGAAUUCGCCGGUUACUAGUUUUGGUUGAUGCAUGAUGCUUGACAAUUCCAACUUGGCAUUCAGAUGGAAGCAAAACAGUGCAAGUUGGUUGAUUGAUCAAGAUGGAUUGCUUCCCUUAUGCUGCAGAGUUAUUGAAUUUAAAAUGCAUUAGGUUGUUGCAGGAUUGACUUGCAGCAUUUCCAACUUGCCUGCUGCAGAUUUGUUGUGGUUUGUUUGAUGUUUGCCUUACUAUAGCUUGUUAGCCUUGUACUCAUGUCUGACAGUGUCAAGCUGGACGCAAAGUUUUUGUGGUGUGUAGAAUGGUUUGUAGAAAAUGGUGGGAUGCUAGGCAUGUAUAGCCCAUGGGAAGCAUGCAUUGGCUCAUGGUGAAAUAGAAUUGUGGCUUGGCACAUGGAAUAUUCUGCUUGCAGGUUUUGGUCAGUUUGGUAUUACUGCAAGAUUGCAUGUAUUUAUUCAUGUUUCAUUGCACCUCUGACAUGGUUCUGCAUGUGUGUUUGGUUAUGGUUUAGAACUGAGUUUGAAGCAGGUAAGGCUCAUGAGUUGCAAAUGGUUAUUGUAUGAUUCAGGUGAUGCUGCAAAAAUAUGGUUGUUCUUAUUGUAUUGCAAACACUUUCCAUGAUUUUACCCUGAACUGUAAUAGACUGUUGGGAUUUGUUGAAACAAUGUGUUAUUCAAAUGCAGGUUUUGAGGUUGAGUUGAGGACCUCACCUGGACUUCUCUUGGCUUCAACAGGUUGGCUUGUUAUUAUGUUGGCUGAGUGAUAAAUGAAUCAUUUGGUUGAGGUUAGUUGUAGUUAGGAUUGUUAGCUUUGUUAGUGUAAUGAGCUGCUACUGUUAGGUUCGGUUAGUUGGAGCCUGGUUUUUGUAAGUUGGUAUGUUAACAUAUGCCAUGUCCCUGCUGCAAUGGGGUUGCUGCUUGUUGGUGUUGAUGUAGCUACCAUUUGCGAUGGACUGAACUGUUUAGAUGCUAGCUCAUAACUGUUAUGUGCAUGGUUUGAUAGUUCAGUGGUCAUGGCUUGCUGACAAAUUUC